UCGAACUCAGAAAUCCACCUGCUUCUGCCUCCCAAGUGCUGGGAUUAAAGGCGUGUGCCACCACCGCCCAGCCACAAAAUUUAUUUAUGUUUACUUAUUAACUAUGAGUUACAGAUAAAUUUCUUUUUAUUUCUACUAAGACAGGGUUUCUCUGUGUAGCCUUGGCUGUCCUGGAACUUGCUCUGUAGACCAGGUUAGCUUCCAACUCAGACAUACAUCUGCCUCUGUCUCCUGGGUACUGGGAUUAAAGGCUUGCACCACCUGGCUCCAGAUAAAUAUUUUUCAUUGUUGCUAAGUUAUGUUUUCCUUGUACCAGUCAACUUUUGCUUUAGAUACUUUGAAGUUUAUUAUUAAAUGCAUGGACCACAGAGGUGAGAGGACCAAAUCAGCCAGAGCUACAACAUAGUGAGAACUUGUCUCAACCCCUACAACCACCUUAACUCAGCAUAGGUUUCAACCUCCUUUUUAUCACUGAACAAGAGAGAAACAAGAGAGACAGAGAAAAGGAUUAUUAGCUGGAGACUUACAGGCAUUGCUUGGGUUUCAGAGGUGUGGAAGAAACAGUGAAAUUUGUUUUUUUUUUCCUUUUCAAAAAUAUGAAACACUUCAUGAAUUUGUGUAUCAUCCUUUCGCAAGGGCCAUGCUAAUCUUCUCUAUCGUUCCAAUUUUAGUAUAUGUGCUGCUGAAGUAAGCAUGUGAAAUUUGUUGAUCGGGAUGCUGUAAUCCAAGGUCAUGAUACACCUGUAGGCCUUGAAAAUAUCUUAGCUUAUGUUUGGCACCAUAAACAUAGGAGAGAAACAAGAGGUAAGGGAAAUUUGAGGUGCACUAAUUUUGCACUGCCAGUCUCCCGUACAUAUUCACUUAAUGACCAACAUAUCUACUAGAAAAGUUGAGCAGAAAACAUCUGGUCCAAAGAUUAAGUUGCAAACGACACAGACACACUAUGCAAGCAGAGAUGCAAGGUAGUAUU
rnacentral:lncRNA from 1 species